UGGCAAGGCAUUUCAAGGCAAAAUCUGGAGAGGGGUAAAAUUGGAAUGUAAUUUUCGAAAUUAAAAAAAAAAAAAAAAAUUAGAUUUUCUCAAAAUAGGUAUAUUUUAGAUGCAUAAAGUUUCAUACGAGAAUGCAUGAACUUUCAUAUAAAAAUGCAUAAAGUUUCAUAUAAAAAUGCAUAAGAUUUCACCCCACCCCAACCCCACCCCCCACACCCCUGAAC
rnacentral:lncRNA from 1 species